rnacentral:lncRNA from 1 species
AUGAACCCUUUAAGAUGAAGCCGAUCAACUAGCUGAAUGAGCGAGAGGUCCAGCUUGGGGUGGCCGAUAAGAUGUCCUGGCCUUCCGAGUACAAGGACAGUGCCUGGAUCUUCCUGGGAGGGCUUCCUUAUGAACUGACUGAAGGGGACAUCAUCUGUGUGUUCUCACAAUAUGGGAGAUUGUUAACAUCAAUCUCAUGCGGGACAAGAAGACUGGGAAAUCCAAAGGAUUCUGUUUCCUCUGCUAUGAAGGCCAGAGGAGCACAAUUCUGGCCAUUGACAAUUUUAAUGGGAUCAAGAUCAAAGGAAGAACUAUCCGAGUGGAUCAUGUGUCUAACUAUUGGACUCCUAAGGACUCAGAAGAAAUGGAUAAUGUGACCAAAGAGCUCCAGGAGAAGGGCUGUGGGGCUUGUACUCCCUCACCAAGUUUGUCUGAGCUCUGAAAAUGAAAAACCAACAAAAAAGCACAAAAAUGACAAAAAGAAAAAAAAAAGAAAAAGAGAAAAUUGGCUGGGAGGUACAGGCAGAGCAACCAUCCUCUUUCAUCACCCAGAAGCAAGACAGUGAAAGAAAAGGAUGACCCUGGCCCUGAGAAGCACAGCAGCAAGAACUCAGAGAGAGCUCAGAAGUCAGAGCCCAGGGAGGGGAUGAAGCUCCCUAAGGCCAGGACUGCCUACUCUGGUGGAGCAGAGGACCUAGAGAGGGACCUGAAGAAAGAGAAACCCAAGCAUGAGCACAAGUCCUCAAGCAGGAGGGAGGCAAGAGAAGAAAAGACCAGUAAUAGGGACAGAGGGCGGAGCUCAGACACACAUUCUAGCCAGUACAAUGGGUGUUCUGAAGGGCGUAGUCAUAGAAGUAAAAGGAGCCGAGAUAAAUCCCAUAGGCAUAAAAGGGCCCGGCGCUCCCGGGAGCGGGAGUCUUCGAAUCCCAGUGACAGUAGGCAUCAC